UGGUUCAGUUGGUAGAGUAUGGCACUUGCAUUGCUAGUGUUGUGGGUUCGAUUCCCAC
rnacentral:tRNA from 1 species